rnacentral:rRNA from 1 species
UACAGAGGUCCCGAGCGUUGUUCGGAUUCAUUGGGCGUAAAGCGUGCGCAGGCGGUUCGUUAUGUCCGAUGUGAAAGCCCCGAGCUCAACUUGGGAAUGGCAUUGGAAACUGGCGGGCUGGAGUGUGGCAGAGGGGGGUGGAAUUCCACGUGUAGCAGUGAAAUGCGUAGAGAUGUGGAGGAACACCGAUGGCGAAGGCAGCCCCCUGGGCCAACACUGACGCUCAGGCACGAAAGCGUGGGGAGCAAACAGG